rnacentral:rRNA from 1 species
UACAGAGGGUGCGAGCGUUAAUCGGAAUUACUGGGCGUAAAGGGCGCGUAGGCGGUUAUGUAAGUUGGAUGUGAAAUACUCGGGCUUAACCUGAGCUGUGCAUCUGAUACUGCAUGACUAGAGUCGUGUAGAGGGGUGUGGAAUUUCCGGUGUAGCGGUGAAAUGCGUAGAUAUCGGAAAGAACACCGGUGGCGAAGGCGGCACCCUGGACACAGACUGACGCUGAGGCGCGAAAGCGUGGGUAGCAAACAGG